GCUAGGCGUGGCGAAGCACGCCUGCAAUCCCAGCUGCACGGGAGGCUGAGGCAGGAGGAUUGCUUGAGCCCGGGAGUUCAAAGCUGCAGUGAGCUGUGAUGGCACCAGUUCACCCCAGCCUGGGCAACACAGCAAGACCCUGUCUCUC
rfam:Gorilla gorilla gorilla genomic chromosome, chr7, whole genome shotgun sequence